CCUACGGGAGGCAGCAGUGGGGGAUAUUGCACAAUGGGGGGAACCCUGAUGCAGCGACGCCGCGUGGGUGAAGAAGGGCCUCGGCGCGUAAAGCCCUGUCAGCAGGGAAGAAAAGGACGGUACCUGAAGAAGAAGCCCCGGCUAACGACGUGCCAGCAGCCGCGGUAAUACGUAGGGGGCAAGCGUGAUCCGGAUUUACUGGGGGGAAAGGGGGCGCAGACGGCGUUGCAGGCCAGGAGUGAAAGCCCGGGGCCCACCCCCGGGACUGCUCUUGGAACUGCGUGGCUGGAGUGCAGGAGGGGCAGGCGGAAUUCCUGGUGUAGCGGUGAAAUGCGUAGAUAUCAGGAGGAACACCGGUGGCGAAGGCGGCCUGCUGGACUGCAACUGACGUUGAGGCCCGAAAGCGUGGGGAGCAAACAGGAUUAGAUACCCUUGUAGUC
rnacentral:rRNA from 1 species